GGCUCGGAACUCCUUUCCCGGACGCGGAGCGGGAGCUCUCCCGACGCUGCCCGAGCCGCUGCAGGAAGAGCCAUUCUCCGUCCCUGGAAGGCCGUGGUGCAGCUCGCCAGAAUCCGUGUUCAGGGGUUUAUGUGGGAAUCAGAGCAGAAUGGAUCGGUAUCGAUAUUUCAUCUUUAACCAGAGGAACAUGGUCGUUCUGGGGAUGUUCCAGAUUGCCUUCAGCACCGUCUGUGUCACCAGUGGGUUCAUAGAUGGCAUUUUCAGAACAGAGUCUCAGCUGGGCAAAACCAGAGCUCCAAUUUGGGCUGGCAUGGUGAUGGGUGUCCCAGGCGUCCUGGCUUUGUUCUCCUCGCAGAGGAAGAAUCCAGUUCUUGUGAAUGUACUGAUAGUUGCUUCCAUAGUCUCUUGUGUUGCCAUCUUCAUUGUAAUAGUUUAUAGCUCCUUGACACUGAGCUAUGGUGAAGAGGAGGAGCUGAGUUCUGCCCCAGUCCAUGUUAUCCAUACUAGGUUCAUACUCAGUAAAGUUGUCAAGGGUGCUAACAUAGCCAUGCUGGCUGUGUCCAUCUGCAGUGCCUGUUCCGUGCUGGCCAUGGCUUACCUGGGAUGCCGGAGCCUUCCCUGCUGCUCCUGCUAUGACAGUGUGACUGGGAUGGAAUGGUUGCAGCCUAGUGAGGACCAAAAUCAGGCUGUGGAAAUGAUUUGUGCUGUACAAAGCCCUGGGGGGAGAAUUUUUAAUUUCACAGAUCGGUUUCCAGCCCAGGAUGUAGAUGCAGAAGAAGACACAUCCAAACCUCCACCAUAUAUCAGAAUGACUUGAAAAAGUGGCCGACCAUUGUGUUCAAAUGUGGCAAGAGAGAUGCAAUAAGUUCUUAAUCUUUAAAGACGGUUAUGCACUUUUCCUUGGCCCUUUGAAAAACACAUGCAGAGCAAACUAGCGAAUGCCCAGCACUGAGCAGAGAUCACAGUGCAGAGGGAAAGAUCUGCAGGAUCACAGAACCACAGACUUCUUUAUGUUGGAAAGGACCUUUAAUACAUUGAGUCCAACCACUGAUCCUUAUCAGUCCCUUCCAAACUGAGAUAUGAUUCCAUGAUUCUCCAGCACCAACAGUGUUUCUUCACCCAUAAAGCCUGAGAGCUGGAGCCUUAAAGCAGAUGCUAGAGCUGGAAUCCCACCAGUGUCAGGUGGGAGGCUGUGCAGAGCCCAGCGAAUCCCAGAACACCCCUGGAAAACAGCAGCCAUUCUUCCUCUCUCAAUGCCUCCUCACAGCCCUCACUGAUGAUGCCAUUCAGCUGGAUAAAUGAGGCCUCCUUUGGGCACCCUGCAUCAACAGAGGAAGGAGAAAAAAUCCCACAUCCUCAGAGACAUCCUCAGAACAGUGAGCAGAAAUUGGUCAUGCUUCAAUCAAGCAGAGAUCUGCAAGUGUACUGCCAGCCUUGGGUAAAGAUGGGGAAAUUAAAUUAAAGGUUUACA